rnacentral:rRNA from 1 species
CCUACGGGAGGCAGCAGUGAGGAAUAUUGGUCAAUGGGCUUACGCCUGAACCAGCCAAGUCGCGUGAGGGAAGACUGCCCUAUGGGUUGUAAACCUCUUUUGUCAGGGAGCAACGCCGGCUACGUGUAGCCGGACUGAGAGUACCUGAAGAAAAAGCAUCGGCUAACUCCGUGCCAGCAGCCGCGGUAAUACGGAGGAUGCGAGCGUUAUCCGGAUUGAUUGGGUUUAAAGGGUGCGUAGGCGGAAUGCCAAGUCAGCGGUAAAAUCGCGGGGCUCAACCUCGCUCCGCCGUUGAAACUGGCGUUCUUGAGUGGGCGAGAGGUAUGCGGAAUGCGUGGUGUAGCGGUGAAAUGCAUAGAGAUCACGCAGAACUCCGAUUGCGAAGGCAGCAUACCGGCGCCCAACUGACGCUGAAGCACGAAAGCGUGGGUAUCGAACAGGAUUAGAUACCCCUGUAGUC